rnacentral:rRNA from 1 species
GACGAACGCUGGCGGCGUGCUUAACACAUGCAAGUCGAACGAGGUUGCUCUUUGUGAAUCCUUCGGGAGGAACUGUGAGUAUACCGAGUGGCGGACGGGUGAGUAACGCGUGAGCAACCUGCCCUGCAACGGGGGACAACAGUUGGAAACGACUGCUAAUACCGCAUGAGACCACGGUUUCGCAUGGAACUGGGGUAAAAGGAUUUAUUCGAUGCAGGAUGGGCUCGCGUCCCAUUAGAUAGUUGGUGAGGUAACGGCCCACCAAGUCAACGAUGGGUAGCCGACCUGAGAGGGUGAUCGGCCACACUGGAACUGAGACACGGUCCAG